UACGUAGGGGGCUAGCGUUGUCCGGAAUCAUUGGGCGUAAAGCGCGUGUAGGCGGUCCGGUAAGUCCGCUGUGAAAGUCGGGGGCUCAACCCUCGGAUGCCGGUGGAUACUGUCGGGCUUGAGUACGGAAGAGGCGAGUGGAAUUCCUGGUGUAGCGGUGAAAUGCGCAGAUAUCAGGAGGAACACCAAUUGCGAAGGCAGCUCGCUGGGACGUUACUGACGCUGGAGACGCGAAAGCGUGGGGAGCAAACAGG
rnacentral:rRNA from 1 species